rnacentral:rRNA from 1 species
AACGCUAGCGGCAGGCCUAACACAUGCAAGUCGAACGGCAGCGGGAAAGAGCUUGCUCUUUUGCCGGCGAGUGGCGCACGGGUGCGUAACGCGUAUACAAUCUACCUUGUACAGGGGUAUAGCCCAGGGAAACUUGGAUUAACACCCCAUAGUAAUAUGUUUUGGCAUCAUUACAUAUUUAAAACUACGGUGGUACAAGAUGAGUAUGCGUCCCAUUAGCUUGUUGGUGUGGUAACGGCACACCAAGGCAACGAUGGGUAGGGGCCCUGAGAGGGGGAUCCCCCACACUGGUACUGAGACACGGACCAGACUCCUACGGGAGGCAGCAGUGAGGAAUAUUGGACAAUGGGCGAGAGCCUGAUCCAGCCAUGCCGCGUGCAGGAAGACUGCCCUAUGGGUUGUAAACUGCUUUUAUACGGGAAGAAACCCACCUACGUGUAGGUGGCUGACGGUACCGUAAGAAUAAGGACCGGCUAACUCCGUGCCAGCAGCCGCGGUAAUACGGAGGGUCCGAGCGUUAUCCGGAAUCAUUGGGUUUAAAGGGUCCGCAGGCGGCCANAUAANUCAGUGGUGAAAUUNCGUGGCUNAACCACGGGACUGCCAUUGAUACUGUUUGGCUUGAAUCAGUUCCAGGAUGCCCGAAUGUGUGGUGUAGCGGUGAAAUGCAUANAUUUCACACAAAACACCCAAUUGCCAAAGCCGGUGUNCAGAACUGUAAUUGACCCUUAUGGACGAAAANCGUGGGGUUGGCGAAACCAGGGAUUANAAUACCNCUGGU